rnacentral:rRNA from 1 species
GUGGGGAAUAUUGGACAAUGGGCGAAAGCCUGAUCCAGCCAUGCCGCGUGUGUGAAGAAGGUCUUCGGAUUGUAAAGCACUUUAAGUUGGGAGGAAGGGCAGUAAGUUAAUACCUUGCUGUUUUGACGUUACCGACAGAAUAAGCACCGGCUAACUUCGUGCCAGCAGCCGCGGUAAUACGAAGGGUGCAAGCGUUAAUCGGAAUUACUGGGCGUAAAGCGCGCGUAGGUGGUUUUGUAAGUUGGAGGUGAAAUCCCCGGGCUCAACCUGGGAACUGCCUCCAAAACUGCAUGACUAGAGUACGGUAGAGGGUAGUGGAAUUUCCUGUGUAGCGGUGAAAUGCGUAGAUAUAGGAAGGAACACCAGUGGCGAAGGCGACUACCUGGACUGAUACUGACACUGAGGUGCGAAAGCGUGGGGAGCAAACAGGAUUAGAACCCGAGUAGUCC